rnacentral:lncRNA from 1 species
AGUUGCAGGAGAAAAAUGGGGAAAGAGAAUGAGGAGAAAUGGGGGAGUCAGUGGAUUGGGGAAGAAAGAAGAAGAAAGGAAAUAGCGGUUGGGUUGGGGUGGGUUAGGGUUUUAAGAAUUUUGUUUUUUGAUUUUAUUGAUUUUUUCUUUUAAAAUCCUAUUUUUUUUAAUUUCACCUAAUUUUUAAUUAUUGUAAUGUUUUUAAUUUUAAAAUCCUAUAUUUUAUUUUAUUUUAGGUAAUGUAAUAUUGAAAUUUUAAUGAAAUGUUUAAUUUUAUAAUAGUAGAAUAAAAAUAGAAUUAAAUGAAAAUGAAG